rnacentral:tRNA from 2 species
GCCGCCCUAGCUCAGUCGGCAGAGCGAUUCACUCGUAAUGAAUAGGUCAGGGGUUCGAUUCCCCUGGGCGGCUCCA